rnacentral:rRNA from 1 species
UACGUAGGGUGCGAGCGUUAAUCGGAAUUACUGGGCGUAAAGCGUGCGCAGGCGGUUUUGUAAGCCAGAUGUGAAAGCCCGGGGCUUAACCCCGGGUCGGCAGUGGAUACGGGCAGGCUAGAGGUAGGUAGGGGAGAAUGGAAUUCCUGGUGUAGCGGUGAAAUGCGCAGAUAUCAGGAGGAACACCGGUGGCGAAGGUGGGUCUCUGGGCCGUAACUGACGCUGAGGAGCGAAAGCAUGGGGAGCGAACAGG